rnacentral:rRNA from 1 species
UUAAGUGAAUAAGGGCGCACGGUGGAUGCCUUGGCACUAGAAGCCGAUGAAGGACGUGACUAACAACGAAAUGCUUUGGGGAGCUGUAAGUGAGCAAUGAUCCAGAGAUGUCCGAAUGGGGGAACCCGGCAGGUAAUGCCUGUCACUCAUUACUGUUAAGGUAAUGUAGAGGAAGACGCAGUGAACUGAAACAUCUAAGUAGCUGCAGGAAGAGAAAGCAAAAGCGAUUGCCUUAGUAGCGGCGAGCGAAACGGCAAGAGGGCAAACCGAAGAGUUUACUCUUCGGGGUUGUAGGACUGCAACGUGGACUUAAAGAUUAUAGAAGAACUACCUGGGAAGGUAGGCCAAAGAGAGUAAUAGCCUCGUAUUCGAAAUAGUCUUUAUACCUAGCAGUAUCCUGAGUACGGCGAGACACGAGAAAUCUCGUCGGAAUCUGGGAGGACCAUCUCCCAACCCUAAAUACUCUCUAGUGACCGAUAGUGAACCAGUACCGUGAGGGAAAGGUGAAAAGCACCCCGGGAGGGGAGUGAAAUAGAACCUGAAACCGUGUGCCUACAACAAGUUCGAGCCCGUUAAUGGGUGAGAGCGUGCCUUUUGUAGAAUGAACCGGCGAGUUACGAUAUGAUGCGAGGUUAAGUUGAAGAGACGGAGCCGUAGGGAAACCGAGUCUUAAUAGGGCGCAUUAGUAUCAUGUCGUAGACCCGAAACCAUGUGACCUACCCAUGAGCAGGUUGAAGGUGAGGUAAAACUCACUGGAGGACCGAACCAGGGCACGUUGAAAAGUGCUUGGAUGACUUGUGGGUAGCGGAGAAAUUCCAAACGAACUUGGAGAUAGCUGGUUCUCUCCGAAAUAGCUUUAGGGCUAGCGUCGAUGUUAAGUCUCUUGGAGGUAGAGCACUGUUUGGGUGAGGGGUCCAUCCCGGAUUACCAAUCUCAGAUAAACUCCGAAUGCCAAUGAGAUAUAAUCGGCAGUCAGACUGCGAGUGCUAAGAUCCGUAGUCGAAAGGGAAACAGCCCAGACCACCAGCUAAGGUCCCAAAAUAUAUGUUAAGUGGAAAAGGAUGUGGGGUUGCACAGACAACUAGGAUGUUGGCUUAGAAGCAGCCACCAUUUAAAGAGUGCGUAAUAGCUCACUAGUCGAGUGACCCUGCGCCGAAAAUGUACCGGGGCUAAAACAUAUUACCGAAGCUGUGGAUACCUUUAUAGGUAUGGUAGGAGAGCGUUCUAUGUGCGAAGAAGGUGUACCGUGAGGAGUGCUGGAGCGCAUAGAAGUGAGAAUGCCGGUAUGAGUAGCGAAAGACAGGUGAGAAUCCUGUCCACCGUAUGACUAAGGUUUCCUGGGGAAGGCUCGUCCGCCCAGGGUUAGUCGGGACCUAAGCCGAGGCCGAUAGGCGUAGGCGAUGGACAACAGGUUGAUAUUCCUGUACCAGUUGUUUUUGUUUGAGCAAUGGAGGGACGCAGUAGGCUAAGGAAUGCAUGCGAUUGGAAGUGCAUGUCCAAGCAAUGAGUCUUGAGUAGAGUUAAAUGCUUUACUCUCUAAGGACAAGUUGUGACGGGGAGCGAAAUAAUAGUAGCGAAGUUCCUGAUGUCACACUGCCAAGAAAAGCUUCUAGUGAGAAAACAACUGCCCGUACCGUAAACCGACACAGGUAGUCGAGGAGAGUAUCCUAAGGUGAGCGAGCGAACUCUCGUUAAGGAACUCGGCAAAAUGACCCCGUAACUUCGGGAGAAGGGGUGCUGACUUCGGUCAGCCGCAGUGAAUAGGCCCAAGCGACUGUUUAUCAAAAACACAGGUCUCUGCAAAAUCGUAAGAUGAAGUAUAGGGGCUGACGCCUGCCCGGUGCUGGAAGGUUAAGAGGAUGGGUUAGCUUCGGCGAAGCUCAGAAUUGAAGCCCCAGUAAACGGCGGCCGUAACUAUAACGGUCCUAAGGUAGCGAAAUUCCUUGUCGGGU